rnacentral:tRNA from 1 species
GUCUUCGUGGCUCAGUUGGUUAGAGCUUUGGACUCAUAUCGGCUUCGAUAAUGAGGAUAUCCAUGAUAUUCGUUUGCCCAAAGGUCGCGAGCUCGAGUCUCGCUGAGGACA